rnacentral:lncRNA from 1 species
UGAAUACGAUUCCAAUCAAAAUCUCCAAGCGGUGUUUUAAAAUCAAUAUGCUUUGAAGCCUCAUGUGAAGAAAAGGACUUGGCAAGAACUUCAAAGAAUGUUCUUAAAAUUAAGAGCCACGAAGGGAGGGCUGGGGAGAGAGGUGGUACGGGCCGAGCUCGGCGGGGAGGAAAUCAGGAAGCAAAGCUGUUGAAAGCUCCUGCGGCCUCCCGUGCACAGACACCGGCAAGGGGACAGCCAGGGAGGCCAGGAGCAGACUGGAGGACAAAAACUGUCAACACAGGAUGGAGCCAGCUCCCCCAAAGAGCGUGGAGGAGGAGGCUGUGAAAUCGGGUUGCAAAAUGGAGCCGUCAUUCAGAAGAAAACCCCAGGUCAGAUGUGCACAAGGCCACACACCCAGCGAGCUCCAGGUAGAUCAAAGUAUUAAGUAUGGACUAACAUGGCUAAACUAACAACGGAGAUAGAGCGCGUGUCAGAUCUGUGGAUGACUCUCUCGUCUCACAAGUGGUAGAGCAAUUGCAGAAACAAAGAUGAGCUGAGAUAACGUCAUGUCAUGAUGUUACCAAGUCAUGACAUGACCAGAAAAAAUUUUUUUUUUAAAGGGAGAACAUACUGAGAGAAUACUUAUACCAAAUAUGAAAACAACAUGGGCUUUUAAAAACAUGACUGAGGAAGAAUUAAUACUUAUAAUUAUCUGAAGAGCUUAUUUUUUUUUAGAACACCAAGAUCCUGGAAAAUGACAGAGACUAUAAAAGUCAUUCAUGGGAGAAGAACAAAUCGCAAGUAGUUGCAGAGAUGCAGGUGGCACUUGUCUAAGUACCCAUUACAUGUGGUGUUGAACAUUGACCUUGACUCCCUGAGGCCGAGGAGACUGGGCACACUCACUUUUGCUGCUUGAGGCAUCAUCAGGGGGUCAGUGUGUUCGGAAAGCAAAAUGGGGAUGUGCAGCAAGAACCAGAAAGAUCUCCCCAAUCUAACUCCUCAUUUCCCUUCUGAAACUCUAUGCUGAGGAAAUGCCAAAAGGAAGCAAUGUUUGCCGGGUGCGGUGGUGCAAACCUGUAAUCCCAGUGGCUCGGGAGGCUGGGGCAGGAGGAUGGAGAGUUCAAAGCCAACCUCAAAAACUGCGAGGCACUGGGGAAACUCACUGAGACCCUGUUUCUAAAUAAAAUAAGAAAUAGGGCUGGGGAUGGGGCUCUGUGGUUGAGUGCCCCUGAGUUCAAUCCCUGGUACUUCAUCCCCACCCCCCACCCCCCAAAAAAAAGAAGAAAAGUUCCCCUGUGCAAAGGUGUUGCUCUCAUUUAUAGCAGCAUAUUUAAGUGGAAGGAAACAUACAGAAACAGAAGUGACCUAAAUAUACAAAUAAGGAGAGACCUCGGUUAUAUUGUAGCGUGUCUGCUCCCUGGAAACUGUUAAGACUGCAUGGAGAAGAAUGAAGGGAGCCAUUGGUAGGACUAAGGUUGUAAUAAUUGGGUGAGUUUUUUUUUUUAAUGUGCUGCUCAUAUCACUCCUUCCUUUCUCUCUUCCUUACUCUUUUCCUUUCUCUCCCUCUCUCCCAAGCAGAGUGGACCAUACCUGGAGCCCAGACCUGAAGUGGGCUGUGGCUUGGGGGUCUAGGAGGGUGUGUGGGGGGGUCUCCUCUCACCUGCCAAAAAACACGCCCCUAUUAGGUGGGAAUCCAAAGAAUGAAACACUAGAAAUACAACCUCUGCUUUUAGAAAAAUUGUGCAUGCCGGUUGUGGGUAUGGUGCCAGAUGACCCCAAAUAGUGUUUUGGGUUUGUCUGGAAAAAACACCUCCCUCCUGGUGAAAACAUAUCACAUUUGCAGCAAAACCACAGAUCUCAACACAGGGCGUCUGCAUCCUGGAUGAACAGAGAGCUUGUGUUUCCAGGGUCCUCUAUCCAUUCAUUCCUUCUGGGAGUGGCCGUGGUGGGGGUGGCUCUCCAUGUGUAACCUUGGCUGGGGGCUGCUGCUUCAUGGUGCUGCCUCCCAGGACCUGCCACUUUGCCCUCCCUGCUGCAGGCCAACCAUGGCGUGUGGCUGUUCUCAGGCCAGGCCAAACCCCUCCACCCCAGGUCCCUGGACCCCGGCCCCUCCACCCUGGUGCCUGGGCUCCUCCUUUGCCUGUUUGCUCCAAACCUAUUGGUACCCAUUCUUUGUGGGUGGGGGGCUCCUAGAGAAGGGGUGAUUCCUCUGUACUGCAGCCUCUUCUCCCCCAAGGUGCUGCUCGGGGGGCCUGGGAAUUGGGCCAGGGUGUGGUUACUCUGCCUCUCUUUGUGCCUGGGCCACCUCUCAGUCUGGCCUCUUGUCCACUCCACUUUUGAUGGUAUUCUCUCAGGGCUCCCUCGUUGCUCCUCCUCGUCAGACUCUAGGCCACCGUAGAGGACAGAGGUGUCACCUGCAAUGCCUGACCUGAUUUAAGCUCUCCCUCCCAGGCUCCUGGGCCCACAUAGUUCAACACAGGUGGCCAGGUGGUUUUCUCCUGCUGAGAGCCACAGCCGAGUCGGAAUGGUCCCUGGCAUUUUGCCAAUAGUAUUGGUUGAGAGGCGAGCCAUUAAGAUGAUGCUGGAUUGAUUCAAUUGUAUGUUAGACCCCUGCUGUCCACCUCAGCCUGCUACUUUGAAGUUCUUGCACUUACUUUGGAGUUAUUGCGGGGAUUCCUGGAGAGUUCGCGUUGGUUGGGGAAGUGCCGGGAGAGGGAGUUCCGGUUGGUGUGUGGUGUUCCU